GACGAACGCUGGCGGCGUGCCUAAUACAUGCAAGUCGAACGCAGUGGGGACGGGUGAGUAACACGUGGGUAACCUCCCAUCAGAGGGGAUAACACUUGGCAACAGGUGCUAAACCGAUACUGAUUGAUGGACCCGCGGUGCUUUAGCUUGUGGGUGCGGUACCGGCUCACCAAGGCCACGAUGCAUAGCCGACCUGAGAGGGUGAUCGGCCACACGGGGACUGAGAAACGGCCACAAUGCCUACGGUGGGCAGCAGUAGGGAAUCUUCGGCAAUGGAGGAAAGUCUGACCGAGCAACGCCGCGGGAGUGAAGAAGGUUUGCGGAUCGUAAAACUUUGUUGUUAGAGAAGCGGUAUCUAACCAGAAAGCCACGGCUAACUACGUGCCAGCAGCCGCGGUAAUAC
rnacentral:rRNA from 1 species